GGCACAAUAAUACACAGCAGUGUCUUCAGGCUGCACAUUCUGUCCAGUUAGAGUCACUGUGUUGCUGGAAGAGUCGAAGGAAAUACUGAACUUGUUUUUCAGUGAAUCUUUGUAGACUGUGCUGUAGCCACCUCCACCCCAUGCAAUCCACUCCAGUGUUUUCCCUGCAGGCUGUCUGAUCCAACCUGUCGCAGAGCUGCUAACAGAAUAAGAGACCUGACAGGUGAUGGUCAGAGUUUGACCUGGCCGGACAGUCAGAGACGCUGGCUGUGUCAACGUGACACAUUUCACACCUGUGGAAAACACAAACAUUUUUUAAAUCAAAUUAUCCAGUUACAUGGCACCAGAAGAGCUGCUGGUUUUGUAAAUGUGAUGUCAAAUCCAGAGAGACUCACAGGAUCCAGCAGCCAGCAGCAGCAGCAGAGCUACAGACAACAUGGUUUAUGUUGAAGCUGAACUGGUGGGAGCUGCUCUUCCUCUUUUCUUUCAACUUCCAGCCUCAUAUCAACUCUUUAUAGCAGAGGAAGCAGGAAGGACACUUUGCAUACAAUCAAACAUACGACUGAAGAAGAUCUACUCAGCAGUGGAUCUAAACUGAAGCAGUAGUUUUGUCCAAAGUGUGACAGCCCUCUAAGGAAACAUUCUUUUAAAGCCCAGUGGUACUUCUACUCUAACAGAACAGUGAGGAUGAGGACUGGAGGAUUUUGUCCAGCUGCUCCACCAACUCCAGUCACUGUGGCUCUCGAGCACAAUAAUAAACAGCAGAGUCUUCAGUCUUCAGACUGUUCAUCCGGAGAUACAGCUGCUGUCUGCUGUUGUCUCUGGAGAUGGUGAAACGGCCUUGGACUGACUGGGAGUAGUAGAUCUCAGCACUGUCAUAUCUGAUAGCAGCGAUCCACUCCAGUCCUUUUCCAGGAGCCUGUCUGAUCCAGCCCAUCCAGUGGUUGCUGAAUGUGAAUCCAGAGGCUGUGCAGGUCAAUGUGUGGGACUCUGCAGGCUUUUUAACCACUGGUUCAGACUGUGUCAGAGUCUGACCAUCAACACCUGGCAACACAAAACAGAAAAGCAUCACAUGCAUGAAGUACGGAUUGGAAUGAAGACGCUGUCAAAUCCAGCUGCUCAUUCAACAUUUUUCACUGUGUCUCACAAGCAGAGGAAUAAAUAGUAACAUCUUAACAGGCCAACAUUCAUCCAAAGACCCUCCUAUUGUUAAUUACAGCAGAUGAGAUGGUGAACCAAGCAACUGGACUGACAGCUGAGGAUUUGAUGGAGCUACAGAGACUGAUGGUGAAAACACAGUCCAGUUAGUGGGUUUUUUAGCUUGUAGUUUGUUCCAUCUUUGUCUCAAAUGAAGGAUGAAGUGGGAAACUACAUUAAAUAAAGCCAGUUGAAGUGGUAGUUACUUGCAUCAUGCAACACAAAUCCUGAUAAUUAUAUCAGUGUGCUGUAUCAAAUGUGUUUCAUUACUAUUUAGUAAACAAGCCUAAAGUCACCACUGUGUUAAAAUGCAUGAUCUUAUGUUAACUAAAGCAGAUUUACAGUAUUCAUGAUCAAUAUAUAAU